AGAGUUUGAUCAUGGCUCAGAUUGAACGCUGGCGGCAGGCCUAACACAUGCAAGUCGAACGGUAACAGGAAACAGCUUGCUGUUUCGCUGACGAGUGGCGGACGGGUGAGUAAUGUCUGGGAAACUGCCUGAUGGAGGGGGAUAACUACUGGAAACGGUAGCUAAUACCGCAUAACGUCGCAAGACCAAAGAGGGGGACCUUCGGGCCUCUUGCCAUCAGAUGUGCCCAGAUGGGAUUAGCUAGUAGGUGGGGUAACGGCUCACCUAGGCGACGAUCCCUAGCUGGUCUGAGAGGAUGACCAGCCACACUGGAACUGAGACACGGUCCAGACUCCUACGGGAGGCAGCAGUGGGGAAUAUUGCACAAUGGGCGCAAGCCUGAUGCAGCCAUGCCGCGUGUAUGAAGAAGGCCUUCGGGUUGUAAAGUACUUUCAGCGGGGAGGAAGGGAGUAAAGUUAAUACCUUUGCUCAUUGACGUUACCCGCAGAAGAAGCACCGGCUAACUCCGUGCCAGCAGCCGCGGUAAUACGGAGGGUGCAAGCGUUAAUCGGAAUUACUGGGCGUAAAGCGCACGCAGGCGGUUUGUUAAGUCAGAUGUGAAAUCCCCGGGCUCAACCUGGGAACUGCAUCUGAUACUGGCAAGCUUGAGUCUCGUAGAGGGGGGUAGAAUUCCAGGUGUAGCGGUGAAAUGCGUAGAGAUCUGGAGGAAUACCGGUGGCGAAGGCGGCCCCCUGGACGAAGACUGACGCUCAGGUGCGAAAGCGUGGGGAGCAGACAGGAUUAGAUACCCUGGUAGUCCACGCCGUAAACGAUGUCGACUUGGAGGUUGUGCCCUUGAGGCGUGGCUUCCGGAGCUAACGCGUUAAGUCGACCGCCUGGGGAGUACGGCCGCAAGGUUAAAACUCAAAUGAAUUGACGGGGGCCCGCACAAGCGGUGGAGCAUGUGGUUUAAUUCGAUACAACGCGAAGAACCUUACCUGGUCUUGACAUCCACGGAAGUUUUCAGAGAUGAGAAUGUGCCUUCGGGAACCGUGAGACAGGUGCUGCAUGGCUGUCGUCAGCUCGUGUUGUGAAAUGUUGGGUUAAGUCCCGCAACGAGCGCAACCCUUAUCCUUUGUUGCCAGCGGUCCGGCCGGGAACUCAAAGGAGACUGCCAGUGAUAAACUGGAGGAAGGUGGGGAUGACGUCAAGUCAUCAUGGCCCUUACGACCAGGGCUACACACGUGCUACAAUGGCGCAUACAAAGAGAAGCGAUCUCGCGAGAGCAAGCGGACCUCAUAAAGUGCGUCGUAGUCCGGAUUGGAGUCUGCAACUCGACUCCAUGAAGUCGGAAUCGCUAGUAAUCGUGGAUCAGAAUGCCACGGUGAAUACGUUCCCGGGCCUUGUACACACCGCCCGUCACACCAUGGGAGUGGGUUGCAAAAGAAGUAGGUAGCUUAACCUUCGGGAGGGCGCUUACCACUUUGUGAUUCAUGACUGGGGUGAAGUCGUAACAAGGUAACCGUAGGGGAACCUGCGGUUG
rnacentral:rRNA from 1 species